rnacentral:rRNA from 1 species
UACGUAGGGUGCGAGCGUUGUCCAGAAUUACUGGGCGUAAAGAGCUCGUAGGUGGUUUGUCGCGUUGUUCGUGAAAACUCACAACUCAAUUGUGGGCGUGCGGGCGAUACGGGCAGACUGGAGUACUGCAGGGGAGACUGGAAUUCCUGGUGUAGCGGUGGAAUGCGCAGAUAUCAGGAGGAACACCGGUGGCGAAGGCGGGUCUCUGGGCAGUAACUGACGCUGAGGAGCGGAAGCGUGGGGAGCAAACAGG